rnacentral:miRNA from 1 species
AGCCAGACCUGAUCUCCCUGCA